CAUAAUCCAUCCCGGCAACUGUUUCUGAAUUCCGUUACGGUGUUUCUAAAGUGCUUUUCUUAAGGAAAUUAAGAAUCCACUCCAGAGGUCUCAUAAAGGUUUAAGGGAAAACUCCAGUUUAACAAAAGGUACAAGUAUUGUGCUUUUGUUCGCAAAAUUUUUUUAGGGAACUUGGAUAUAUGGCGUUCAUAGACUGAUAAUUAAAACUGACCUUGUCUCAUUCUACUGAAUUUCUAUAAAGAUUCAACAGCUGAUUUACAAUAAUUAUUUCAGAUUAUCUCUAGUUGAAGCUGCAGAUGAAGGUAGUGAUGUUUUUGUACAAAUAUCCCUUUAAACAUGAAAUACUGAAUUUUAUUUUAAACUGUAAUUUGAUUGUGCAUUCAAUUUGGAUGUUGUGAAAUAUAUGUUACCUUAAAAUUACACAGUAUAUUCAUAUAUAAUCAAUUUUCUCAGCCACAUCUUCAAGAUCUAAAGAUUUAGGUCUAAGAGGAUGUGUAGCUGUGUCAGAGCCAGAGGCUGCAGAGACAGAGUACAGAGCUACAAUGUUGGCACGCCUCAAAACAAUUGAGGAAAAUCAGCAGCUGAUGUUAACCUACUACAGUCUGUAGCUUCUGCUGGUAGGUUCAGGAGGGGAAGAUGUGGAUGAUGUUUUGCCAGCCCCCGUGUGCAGUUUAGAGGAGCUGGAUGACUUGUGCACUAAGUUAACUGAUGAAACAUUCAAAAAGAAAUUACACUGUAUUUGUCAUCGUUAGGAGGGCAUAGCCUUGGAGACACAGUUCUUAGGAUUAUUAAAAAGCUUGGAAGCAAUUGUGUGUGGUCCUCAUAUAGUCUAAAGGGAAGAAACGGAAAGUUACCAUUUAUUGAUCUUCCUAUCUUCAAAGUUGUCAUCAGAGUAUGCUUAAGAAACUACAGAAAGGCAAAAUUAUCCGAAGUGGAAGAUGAAAUUAGUGAAACCCUGAAGCAUGCCCCUAAAAGAAAAGGUGGCCUAAAGUACAAGGAUCCAGGGCCUAAAAGACCCAAUUAUUUAAUAGCACAAGAGUCAUCCGAUUCAGAAAAUUAGGCGCAGAUUAAAUCAAGACAGAGUGCAAGGUUCAGUGCCCCAGGAAGGUCAUAAAGUAUGAGGCCCUCCACCCACACACUCCUGCCAUCAUACUUCCCACUCUAUACCACAUAAUCAUCAUCUACCUCACUCCAAAGAACCUUCUUGUGCAAGAUAAAAUUCAUGAUCUUAUAAUUCAUAAUGUAAGUUUUUAUUUCCUAACUGCUACCAGGAGAGAUCAAGUAGAGUAUAUGUAUAGCCCAUGAAAUAUGAAUAUUUUUUUUCUACAAUACUAUAUUUAUGCCUAACUUUUUUUUUCCCUCAAAAAUAUUAUUGCCCAUGGAAUAUCCUAUUUUUGCUUUUAUAUGCUGUAUACUCUUCCAGGAAUAUUCUUUUGGUUCAAAUAUAUUUGUAUGUAUAUCAUCUGUACCCUUUCUUGAGUUUACAUUUUUUUCUUUACACUUAUCAGUGCCUCUGGAAUCUAAAUAUUUUGUUAUAUGCCAAUUUAUGGCCUACUUGGAAACUGCUGUUUUUUGCUAGUAUAUAUUUUAUGUUCUUCAUGGAAUUACUUUUUUUUUUCAUCUAUGUUCGUAUAUUGUACUAUUUAUGCCAUUGAAUUUAAUUUUUUUUAACCAAUAUCUUUGAAAAUGGAAUGUACUAUUUUCCUCAUUCUAUUUUAUACCAAUUUAUGGCUUAUUUGGAAUGUGCCAUUUUUGCUAAUAUAUAUUUUAUACUCUAUAUUUGUAUGCUGUGUACUAUUUAUGGCCUUGAAUUAUUGUUUUUCUUAAAACACAUCAUUGACUAUGGCAUGUACUAUAUUGUAUUUCUAAUAUAUGGCCUACUUGGAAUUUUUUAUUUUUUAAUGUAUAUUUUGUACUCUUCUUGGAAUUUUUUUUCCAUCAAUGUCUGUAUACUAUUUAUGCCCCUGAAUUUAAAUUUUUCUUGAUACGUAUUAUUUUCCAUGGAAUAUACUAUUCUUGUUACUGUAUUUUGCACUCUAUUUUUCUGUUAAUAUAUAUUCAUAUGUAUUUAUACCUAGUCUUGGAAUGUAUCAUAUUUUUCUUUUAAUAUAUAUUCGUAAAUAUUCAUACCCAGCCAUGGAAUGUACCAUAUUUUUCUUUUAAUAUAUAUUCGUAAAUAUUCAUACCCAGCCAUGGAAUGUACUAUAUUUUUCUUUUGAUAUAUAUACCCACCCUUAAUUGUAAUGUACUAAUUUUUCUUUUAAUAUAUAUUUGUAUAUAU